ensembl:rRNA 5S_rRNA 5S ribosomal RNA
GCCUACAGUCACACUACCCUGAGAACGCCCGAUCUCGUCUGAUCUCGGAAGCUAAGCAGGGUUUGCCUGGUUAGUACUUGGAUGGGAGACCAACUGGAAUACCAGGUGCUGUAAGCU